rnacentral:rRNA from 1 species
GAUGAACGCUAGCUACAGGCUUAACACAUGCAAGUCGAGGGGAAACGACAUCGAAAGCUUGCUUUUGAUGGGCGUCGACCGGCGCACGGGUGAGUAACGCGUAUCCAACCUGCCCAUCACUUGGGAAUAACCUUGCGAAAGUAAGACUAAUGCCCAAUGAUAUCCCACGAAGGCAUCCGAAUGGGAUUAAAGAUUUAUCGGUGAUGGAUGGGGAUGCGUCUGAUUAGCUUGUUGGCGGGGUAACGGCCCACCAAGGCGACGAUCAGUAGGGGUUCUGAGAGGAAGGUCCCCCACAUUGGAACUGAGACACGGUCCAAACUCCUACGGGAGGCAGCAGUGAGGAAUAUUGGUCAAUGGGCGAGAGCCUGAACCAGCCAAGUAGCGUGCAGGAUGACGGCCCUAUGGGUUGUAAACUGCUUUUAUAAGGGAAUAAAGUGAGUCUCGUGAGACUUUUUGCAUGUACCUUAUGAAUAAGGACCGGCUAAUUCCGUGCCAGCAGCAGCCGCGG